GACGAACGCUGGCGGCGUGCUUAACACAUGCAAGUCGAACGGAAAGGCCCUGCUUUUGUGGGGUGCUCGAGUGGCGAACGGGUGAGUAACACGUGAGUAACCUGCCCUUGACUUUGGGAUAACUUCAGGAAACUGGGGCUAAUACCGGAUAGGAUCUCCUGCUGCAUGGUGGGGGUUGGUAAGUUUCGGCGGUUGGGGAUGGACUCGCGGCUUAUCAGCUUGUUGGUGGGGUAGUGGCUUACCAAGGCUUUGACGGGUAGCCGGCCUGAGAGGGUGACCGGCCACAUUGGGACUGAGAUACGGCCCAGACUCCUACGGGAGGCAGCAGUGGGGAAUAUUGCACAAUGGGCGGAAGCCUGAUGCAGCAACGCCGCGUGCGGGAUGACGGCCUUCGGGUUGUAAACCGCUUUCGCCUGUGACGAAGCGUGAGUGACGGUAAUGGGUAAAGAAGCACCGGCUAACUACGUG
rnacentral:rRNA from 1 species